UAGGGUUUGAUUAUGGCUCAGAUUGAACGCUGGCGGCAGGCCUAAUACAUGCAAGUCGGGCGGAAACGAUGGAGCUUGCUCCAGGCGUCGAGCGGCGGACGGGUGAGUAACGCGUAGGAAUCUACCCAGUAGAGGGGGAUAGCCCGGGGAAACUCGGAUUAAUACCGCAUACGCCCUACGGGGGAAAGCAGGGGAUCUUCGGACCUUGCGCUAUUGGAUGAGCCUGCGUUGGAUUAGCUUGUUGGUGGGGUAAAGGCCUACCAAGGCGACGAUCCAUAGCUGGUCUGAGAGGAUGAUCAGCCACACUGGGACUGAGACACGGCCCAGACUCCUACGGGAGGCAGCAGUAGGGAAUAUUGGACAAUGGGGGCAACCCUGAUCCAGCCAUGCCGCGUGUGUGAAGAAGGCCCUAGGGUUGUAAAGCACUUUCAGUAGGGAGGAAGGCUAUAAGGUUAAUAACCUUAUAGAUUGACGUUACCUACAGAAGCAGCACCGGCUAACUCCGUGCCAGCCGCCGCGGUAAUACA
rnacentral:rRNA from 1 species